rnacentral:rRNA from 1 species
AUUGAACGCUGGCGGCAUGCUUUACACAUGCAAGUCGAACGGCAGCACGGGGGCAACCCUGGUGGCGAGUGGCGAACGGGUGAGUAAUAUAUCGGGACGUACCCGGAAAUGGGGGAUAACGUAGCGAAAGUUACGCUAAUACCGCAUAUGCCCUAAGGGGGAAAGCGGGGGAUUCGCUAGAACCUCGCGUUUUCGGAGCGGCCGAUAUCGGAUUAGCUAGUAGGUGAGGUAAAGGCUCACCUAGGCGACGAUCCGUAGCUGGUCUGAGAGGACGACCAGCCACACUGGGACUGAGACACGGCCCAGACUCCUACGGGAGGCAGCAGUGGGGAAUUUUGGACAAUGGGCGCAAGCCUGAUCCAGCCAUGCCGCGUGCAGGAUGAAGGCCUUCGGGUUGUAAACUGCUUUUGUACGGAACGAAAAGAACUCUGGUUAAUACCUGGGUCCGAUGACGGUACCGUAAGAAUAAGACACCGGCUAACUACGUG